CUUCCCCAUUCGUCCCCUCCUUUUUCAUUUGGUCUGCUGUCGUGCUGUCUGCUGCAAGCCAGGAAGCACACUGCAGACCAACUGUUUCCCCUGCUGCAUUUGCCAUGGCUUCCAAUUCUGCUCUCGUUGUUUUUGUCUAGCGUUCAAAAGGUGUCAGGAAAGGCAGGGGGUUGCUGAGGCCAGCGUGGGUGUUUGUGGGAUGCCAGACACCUGGGCUGCUGGAAAACUUUUGCAGCAACUCUGAUUUCUUCUCUUCUCAGUUUCCAUCCAGCUGUUUGGCAUUGGAUACUGCUGCCUCUGCUUGACUUGAGAAUGUGUGAGAAAAGCUGUGUUUAGACAACUGAAAACCAUGAGCUUGAAAGUAGUGGGGGCACACUCUUGGAGACUCCAGUUGCUCACCAGCUUGGACAAACCACUGGACUCAAAUGAUCAGGUAGAAAUUCAUCACUGGAGAGAACACAGUGGAAUGGCUUCAGCGAAAACUCACUCUGAAGGUCUUCAGGGCAACUUUAAGACUUGCCCCUGGCCGGGCACAGUGGCUUAUGCCUAUAAUCCCAGCACUUUGGGAGGCCGAGGCGGGUGGAUCACCUGAGGUCAGGAGUUCAAGACCAGCCUGGCCAAUAUGGCGAAACCCUGUCUCUACUAAAAAUCCAAAAAAUUAGCCGGGCGUGGUCGUGGGCGCCUGUAAUCCCAGCAACUCGAGAGGCUGAGGCAGGAGAAUUGCCUGAACCCGGGAGGCAGAGUUUGAAGACAGCCGAGAUUGCACCACUGGGCAACAAGAGCAAAACUCCAUCUCAAAAAAAAAAAAAAAAAAAAAAAUACUUGCCCCGGCUUUUUGUGUGAUGGACUUUCUAUUUACAGACGUGAUAUUUAUCUAUGACUUUACUCAGAGUCUGGCUCAUAGACCAGAAGGACUGGUAUCUCCUGGAGCUUGCAGGAAAUGCAAAAUCUCAAACCCCUGUAUUAGUCAGGGUUCUCCAGAGAAGUAGAGCCAAUGGGAUAGAGACAGGGAUAGGGAUGAUAGAGAUGGAGAUAGAGGUAGAGAUCCAUUGAUUCCUCUGUUAAUAAAUUGGCUCAUGCAGUUGUGACAAUUUCGAAAUCUGCAAGGUAUGUCAGCAAGCUGGAGACCCAGGGAACAGUUGAUGUUGCACCUUGAGUACAAAGGCAGUGUGUCUGGAGCCAUAAUAUCUUCUUGUUAGGAAGACUUUGGUCUUUUCUCUUCUGGCCUUCAACUGCUUGGGUGAGGCCCGUCCCCACUACAGAAGACAAUAGUCUGUUCUACUCAGAGUCUACUGAUUUAAAUGCUCAUCUCAUCCCAAAAAAUACCCUCACAGCAACAUUUAGCCUGUGCAUUUGACCAAACAACUGGGUACCAUGCCCCCCCUCCCAAGUUGACACACAAAAUUGACCAUCAUACCCUCCCCACCCCCAGUCUUACUGAAUGAGAGAGAAUCUGUGCUUCAACAAGAUCCCCAGAAGAGGUAUAAGCGCAGGGAAGUCUGAGAAGCACCACCUUUGAGGCUUAUCCAGGAUGCCCACAUGAGCCUUCUCUGGAUAUGUCAGAUCCCCUUCCUGGCCCCCUAGACACCUCCUCCACUCCCCAAACUUGGAAGCAACAUUGUGGGGAAGCAGGCAGUGAGGCGCUCAGUCUACCACGUUGUGAGAUACACAGCUCCAUCUGUGUAUCAUGAUUUGAUCCAAGGGAAAACAAAAGAUCCAGAAACAUAAGUACUUUUUUGUGAGCUCUCAAAAACUUCCUGUGACAAGAUCAGGUCGUUGAUGCGAGAGCCACACUUGUUUCUUUUUCCUCUUUAUUCUCCACCUCUGACAUAAUACUUAGCAUAAAAAAAAAUCCAAUAAACACCACUGAAUCAAUUAUCUAAGCCUCAGUUUCCCUCUUGUAAUAUGUACUUACCUGGUUGUGGUAGGAAAGACACCAGGCAUGAGAAACACUUAAAAGCCCAGGACCCUGAGCUGGGCACAUGGUAGGUACUCAGGAAGUCAUUGCCGAGUGUUCAGUGCAUGCUUGUUGAAUGAGUAAAUGAGGUCAGGCUUCAGCAUGCAAACACUCGCUAUAAAGCAGGAACCCUGUGCCCUGAGUGCACAAAAUAGAUAUCGAGAAGGAACACAGGCUCAGACAUCAGUGCCAUAUCUGAAGACAUUCAGCUAAUAACAGGAUGGAGUCCAAUCUGAAACAACUGUCACGCUGAGCCUAAUUGCUGAAGAUGGUUGAAGGCACCAGGAGGCUGGAGUUUCCUGGAGGUGGUUUGUGGCCAACCGUCAAUUACUUGGGCUGCUGUGCAGUGGGGAUAGAAGGAUGAUUAGAAUCCACAGACAACCCAUUGGCCUUUGUUUACCAUUAACUUCUGUUUUCUCCACCAGCCAAGCUCCUCCAGACCCAGGAGAUGGCUCUUCCCUCUGUGUAGCACACUCUUUCCAGUCAAGGGGUCUUGCACUGCUAUUUCCCCUUCUGCUUUGCUUGGUUCAUUCUUACUGACCCUCCAAAUACUGAAGGAAUGAAUGGAGAAAUAAGUAAAUGAGAGAUGUGGCCAAGAGUCUCCAAGAGAGGAAAUUAAAAAAUCCUAUACCUGUGAGGAACUGGCCCACUUGCAAAAGGCGGACUCAUUUGUCACUGUGUUUGCUGGCUGCUCGCACCACACAGUUUCCAGCCUAGGCAUUAUUUCCAACCUCUUUUUCCAAAGGGUCUUUCUAAGGUACAGAAAAUGGACAUAAAAUCGCCCAACGUAGUUGAGAGGUAAGGAGUAAAAGCCGGAAUUUGAACUCCUAAUCUCCUGCCACGAUUUCAUGCUGCCUCUGGGUAAUCUCCCAGCACGUUGCUUAAUCAGCUGCUGAGUCAUUGAGAGCCGGCAGAACCAGCUUCCUGCUGAGGCAGAGUGGGAGGAGGCCCGUCUGGGAGCAGCACACUGAAGGAAGGGAGGAGGAGGUGAUGUUUGGCACAAUCGGAUUGGUUCCCAUGAGGUCCAGGGCUGCGGCUCCUACAGAAGGCACUUUUUGCAUAUGGUAGGCUUCACGGGGUGCAACCUCUGUGUUGUUAGGAGAACCUCGUGCUUGCUAUGAUGCUCUGCUGUCAUUAUCUUGAAAUUCUUAGUCACAUUAAAACACGGGAGCCUACAUGUUUAUUUUGCACUGGAUCCUGCAAAUUAGCCAGUCCUGGUACUGAGGGCAGGUCCCUGGGUGAGUCUCACACAGCCUCCAUCCUUUGGUAAAGCAGCUUUCCUGAUUUAGCAAAUGCCUUACCAGAAAGCCUUUUCCUUGAAGAUGCUUUAACUUUUGUCUUCCCUGGCAAAGCUGUUUCCUUAUGGUAAAGCACCCAGCUCAUAGCUGAUAUUCAAUCCAUGAAGUAGCUCUGUCAGCAGCUGUCAUCAUGAAGACUUUGCAGCCUGCGGGUGGUAGCAUUCUGAAUCGUCAGUCUGUCUCGCUCCUGUAGCAAAUGCACGAUCCGGGAAAGCAUGUCCCAAGCUUUGUUCUGGAGAAGAUUUCUCCAGCUAUCAGAUGGUGUCUGUCAUCACAAUAGCUUAGGAGAUGCUGCUCACUCCAUCCUCCUCACUAAGUGUCACAGUACACUUGGGUAUGUACAAGUCUCUGAGAAGUCCAGCAGCAAAGACACCUUUGUGUUUUGCUGAUUCUAGCCUUUCCUAGACUAGAAGUCUUUUUUUCUAGUCUAGGAAAAGACUGUGGAAUCUUUUCUUUUUUUUCCUGAUACACACAUUCACAUUCCGUGGAACAUUUAGGACGUGGUUAUCUGGUCCUAAAGUAGUAAAGGUGAAGAUGUUGUGGGAGGUGCAAGAAAGAGCAGCAAGGAGUAGAUGGGGCACACUGCAAAGUGCGAUCCCCACAUACCUAAGUUAGUAUCAAUUACUACUAACAAAACUCGGCCAAGACUCUUUUGCAUUCGUUUUGUUUCUCUCUUUUACCCUGAUUAUAUUAAGAAAUAUGACAGGCCUGUGACUCACUGAUUAGACCAUCUUAGUCACUUUGGGUUGUCCCAGCAACAGGAGACUUAACUCUGACCAUAGGUAAGGAGCCCAGAGGACAGGAGAGCAGGGAUUUCUGAGGAUUUAACAAAUGCUUAUAAACAAAUGAUAUCACUUUGAACAAAGUAAUCAAAGUAUCAAAUGCUAUAAACACCACAGUAGGGCAAUGUGUGAAUCAUACUUGUGGUGAGACAUACAUAGAUCAGCUGCAAAGAGGAACUCAAUUCUGCAGAACCUCAGCUGGAGUAACUGAUGUGAAACAUGGACAGGGAAAUGGAAGGAAGUCAGCGGACACGGAAACUCUAGGAACUGAACUUUGACAAGGAACGCCGUCCAUAAUCCCAAGUCCUAUGACUUCAUAGAGGAAAAAAACCCUAGUGGAGCAGAACAGGGCCUCAUAGAGGGGCUGGGGCCUCACUGAGGGCUGGGAAGUUUGAUAGGACUUCCCUUGCUGGUAAGGAACAAAACUGGGUCUCAGGUUCAGGUUUGUAAAGCUAAUUUCAUACAUUUGCAGCAGAUGCUGUCAGUGUCCCUCCCCAAGCCCCUCAGCACUCAGCAUUCAUAGACAUCCUCAUCUUGCAAGCACCUGAGUCUCUCUCUGUAAGGUUUCUGUUGGCCUCAGGGCAGACCAGGGUACCAGGGAGGGCAGACCAGGGUACCAGGGAGCACAGCCCUCAAAGAAAGAUGACAGGAGUUGGUGUAAAUCUCAUGGCUUUCAUGUUACUUAGGGGGACCAAUGCUGAGGCAUGCUUAGCAUGAUCCUCUGUGAGACUGGGCCUCAGGUGUCCGCUGCAGCCGCCUGUUCAUUAGUGUGACAUGCACGGGAUUCCUUCCGUAUCCUGGCCCCUUUCUCUACUUCCCAACCGUGCUUCCUGAGACAUACUCAAAUCCUUGUCUCACACUUGGCUUCUGGGAGAAUCCAACUGCAAAUGCUGUGUUUUAUUUUUUAUUUAUGUAUUUAAUUAUUUGGAGAUAGGGUCUCCCUCUGUCACCCAGGCUGGAGUAAAAUGGCACAAUCCUAGCUCACUGCAAUAUUAAACUCCUGGGCUCCAGUAAUCCUCAGCCUCCAGGAGCUGGAACUACAGUCGUGCACAGCAAUGCCAGCUAAAGUUUCCUUUAAAUUUUUUGUAGAGUCAAGAUCUCACUAUUUCAGUCAGGUCUUGAACUCCUUGCCUCCCAAAGUUCUGGGAUUACAGCACUUGGCCUCCCAAAGUGCUGGGAUUACAGGCGUGAGCCACUGCAUCUGGCUGUUUAUUCCAUUAAAAUGAUUGAAGGAGUCUCUUGCUUUGGGAAUUUUGCUCCCGUGGUGAGAACACUAUGGGAAUGACAUCUCAAGAAUAUGGCUCCUUCAAAUGAAUUUAAAAUGGUCUUUCUAUUUUUGUCCAGUGGUUACAAUAGCUGAUGGGCUCGAGGUAAGGAGAUGCUAAGCUGCCAUUCUCUCCUUCAACCCAUGGCAUUUACUGAGCUUCUAAAUCAGUCAGGCCCUGGGCUGGACCCUGGGCAUGCAGACUGAAUCAGAGCCUUCAGGACUAGCAGGAGAGACAGGUAUAUAUAGUGGCAAGGGCAAUAUUUAUUCACUCAUUCAUUCUUUUUCCUUUUUUAUGUGCCAAAUCUUUAAUGAGGGCCUACCUUGUACUCAGGAACACCAGGAAUAAACAGAAAACAAAAAGAUAUCAUUUCUGGACUCAGUUCACCAUCUAGAGAAAAAAAAAAAAAAAAAAAAAGACCUGAAAUGGACAAAUACAGUACUGUUUGACAAAUGUCACGUAAGAAGAAGCCCAUGAUACUGAGGAUGGUAUAGGAGGGGCCGUAUCCAGGUUGAAGGAGUCAAAUAUGACAGCUGCCGUGAGAAUUACAAUCAGAAAACCAUGACCCGGAUGCUUAUCCUAUUCAUUGCUUGAGCCUGAGAACACAAACACACAGGGUGUGGCUGAAAUUCCUCUGAAAUUGUAUUGAUUUGAGAAAACUGCAAUCUUGUGUUAAAAUGUGAAUCAUACACAAGGAUGCAAAACAGUUACCGCUGACCAUAAAUCUAGGCUAUCAGAAUGGAAUCUGAUGGCUUGUCUACCAGACUGCAUUGUGAAACCAAUCAAAUGGGAGAUAGACUCACCACUUACCAAGUACCUCUGAGACACCAGGCACCCUGUGGGGUGCCCUACUCAUCAUCUUGUUUAACCAGUUGAUUGGGAAUAGCUCCAUUUUACAGAGAAAGACUGUUAGGCAGCUUUCUAAGAUGGCCCUAAUUAUUCCUUCCUUCUGGUAAUCCCCUUCCUUUAAAUGUGGGCUACACUUAAUUACCUGCUUUUAACAAACAGAAUAUAGCAAAAGUGAUGGGAUGUCAGGAGACUGAAUCAGUAACCAAAAACCUCCAGACAAAGAAAAGCCCAGGGCCAGAGGGCUUCACUGGUAAAUUUACCAAACAUUUAAAGAAGAAUUAGCACCAGUCUUUCUCAAACUCCUCAACAAAUUGAAGAGGAGAGAACACUUCUAAAUACACUUUAUGAGGCCAGCAUUACCCUAACAUCAGAGCCAGACAAAGACACAAGAAAAGAAAACUACAGACUAAUAUUUCUAAUGAAUCUUGAUGCACAAAUCCUCAAAAAAGAAGAAAACAUACUAGCAAACAUAAUUCAGCCGCACAUUAAAAGGAUUAAGCACCAUGACAAAGUGGGAUUUAUUCUUAGUAUAAAAGGAUAUUUCAACGUAAAAAAGUCAAUGUAAUAUAUCACAUUAAUAGAAUGAUGAGAAAAAAUCCACAAGAUUAUCCCAAUUGAUGCAUUUAACAAAACUUAAUACUCUUUCAUGAAAAAACACUCAACAAACCAGGAAUACAUGAAACUACCCCAACAUAAGACAGUCCACAAAUGAAAAGCUCACAACCAACAUAAUACUCAUGGUGAAAAGCUGAAAGCUUCCUCUAAGAUCAGGAAUGAGACAAAAAUGUCCACUUUUGAAUCAACCUGUAUUCAACAUAGUAUAAGAAGUCCUCGCCAGAAUUUUCAGGAAAAAAAAAAAAGAAAGAAAAAAAAGCCAGUCAAAUUGAAAAGAAAGAAGAAAAAUUAUCUUUGCUCACAAAUGACAUGAACUUAUAAAACUCCUAGAAUUAAUAAAUGGAUGCUGCAAUGUUGAAGGAUACAAAAAUCAACACACAAAAAUCAGUUAUGUUUUUAUAUACUAACAAUGAAUGAGCCAAAAAUGAAAUUAAAACAAUUCCAUUUACAAUAGCAUCAGAAAGACUAAAAUACCUAACAAUAAACUUAACCAAGGAGGUAAAAUGCUUGAGUAUUUAGACACUAAAAAUUAUAAGGCCUGCACGGUGGUUCAUACCUGUAAUCCCAGCAUUUUGGGAGGCAGGUGGAUCACUUGAGGUUAGGAGUUUGAGACCAGCCUGGCC
rnacentral:lncRNA from 1 species